rnacentral:rRNA from 1 species
GAACGCUCACCGGGGUUUUGGCUCUGGUGGGAGUGGCGCACGGGUGAGUAGCGCGUGGGAACCUGCCCUUUUGUGGGGGAUAACCGAGGGAAACUUCGGCUAAUACCGCAUGCGCCCCUGGGGCGACCUGGGGGGAAAGAUUUAUCGCAGGAGGAGGGGCCCGCGUCGGAUUAGCUAGUUGGUGGGGUAACGGCCCACCAAGGCGACGAUCAGUAGCUGGUCUGAGAGGAUGAUCAGCCUCACUGGGACUGAGACACGGCCCAGACUCCUACGGGAGGCAGCAGUGGGGAAUAUUGGACAAUGGGCGCAAGCCUGAUCCAGCCAUGCCGCGUGGAUGAUGAAGGCCCUAGGGUUGUAAAGUCCUUUCGGCGGGGAAGAUAAUGACGGUACCCGCAGAAGAAGCCCCGGCUAACUUCGUG